UAGGGAAUCUUCCGCAAUGGGCGAAAGCCUGACGGAGCAACGCCGCGUGAGUGAUGAAGGUCUUCGGAUCGUAAAACUCUGUUAUUAGGGAAGAACAUAUGUGUAAGUAAAUAUGCACGUCUUGACGGUAACUAAUCAGAAAGCCACGGCUAACUACGUGCCAGCAGCCGUGGUAAUACGUAGGUGGCAAGCGUUAUCCGGAAUUAUUGGGCGUAAAGCGCGCGUAGGCGGUUUUUUAAGUCUGAUGUGUAAGCCCACGGCUCAUCCGUGGAGUGUCAUUGGAAACUGGAAAACUUGAGUGCGGAAGAGGAAAGGGGAAUUCCAUGUGUAGCGGUGAAAUGCGCAGAGAUAUGGAGGAACACUAGUGGCGAAGGCGACUUUCUGGUCUGUAACUGACGCUGAUGUGCGAAAGCGUGGGGAUCAAACAGG
rnacentral:rRNA from 1 species